rnacentral:rRNA from 1 species
CCUACGGGUGGCUGCAGUGAGGAAUAUUGGACAAUGGACGAUAGCCUGAACCAGCCAAGUAGCGUGAAGGAUGACUGCCCUCGGGGUUGUAAACUUCUUCUAUAAAGGAAUAAAACGAGGCACGUAUACCUUUUUGCAUGUACCUUACCAAUAAGGAUCGGAUACCUCCGUGCCAGCACCCGCGGUCAUACGGAGGAACCGAGCGUUCUCCGUCUUUAUUGGGUUUAAAGGGAGCGUCGGCGGGGUGUUAAGUCAGUUGUGAAAGUUUGGGGCUCAACCGUGACAUUGCAAUUGAUACUGGCAGGCUGGAGUAGAGGAGAGGGAGGCGGAAGUCGUGGUGUAGCGGUGAAAUGCGUAGAUAUCACGAAGAACACCGAUGGCGAAGGCAGCUU